GGGGAAAUUGCUCAGGGUCACAACUAGUACAGGGGGACGGGAGUCCAGCGUGGCUCUAAAGCCUUAUGUAGUCACCACCCAGACUACUUCAUGGAGUUCAUCUUAGGGGACCAAGUUAGUCUAAGACUGCCUUGUCUAUGCUAAUGGAAGCAGACACUCUGGAACACUUCAGAAGGCAGGCCUCCCUCUUAUGUAUACCACCCGGGACCACCGUGGUUAAAGCGGGAAGAGAACGAGGGCCCCCCAGAGUGUGAGCAGCCAGAGGAGGCAGAUGAAUGAGAAUGCCAUUGGCUUAUAAAGAGGGUCCUCACCCAACCUGAUCACGCCACCACCCUCAUCUUGGGCUUUCUGGCUCCAGAACUAUGAGAACUACAUUCCUGUCAUCUAAGCCAC